CCUACGGGUGGCAGCAGUGAGGAAUAUUGGUCAAUGGGCGUAAGCCUGAACCAGCCAAGUCGCGUGAGGGAUGAAGGUUCUAUGGAUCGUAAACCUCUUUUAUCAGGGAAUAAAGUGUGGGACGUGUCCUGUUUUGUAUGUACCUUAUGAAUAAGGAUCGGAUAACUCCGUUCCAGCAGCCGCGGUAAUACGGAGGAUACGAGCGUUAUCCGGAUUGAUUGGGUUUAAAGGGUGCGUAGGCGGCCUUUUAAGUCAGCGGUGAAAGUCUGUGGCUCAACCAUAGAAUUGCCGUUGAAACUUGGCGGCUUGAGUAUGUUUGAGGAAGGUGGAAUGCGUGGUGUAGCGGUGAAAUGCUUAGAUAUCACGCAGAAGCCCGAUUGCGAAGGCAGCCUGCCAAGCCAUGACUGACGCUGAUGCACGAAAGCGUGGGGAUCAAACAGGAUUAGAUACCCCAGUAGUC
rnacentral:rRNA from 1 species